CGCAGAGUAUGGAGUCUCUAACGUCUCGUUUCAACAAUCUAUGUAGGGAAGCACUGAAGUAUGCAGAGGAAGGGGCAAUUUCUUCAGAGACCUAUUGUACUGCAUUGGGUGCAUUAAGGGAAGGUGCAAGAAAGAUUGCUGUGGUGAAGAAGAAUGUUGCCAAAGUUAGACCUCCUUCAUCUCAAGGGAGUGGGCAUUUUCAGGAUGAGAUUAAUAAGAAGACACCUUUACCAACUUCUAAUGCGUGUCCACCUCUGCGGCCAUGGUCAGAUAUGUUGCCACAUUGCUUGAACCUGAAUGACGUUGGUGUCCCUCUUGCUGAUUCGAAUCAACCAUCCACGGGUCCUGUGACUAUUAACCAUGAAGGAAGCCCUUCUGAUAGUUCU
rnacentral:lncRNA from 1 species